rnacentral:lncRNA from 1 species
UUUCAAAAACUUAACCCAAACCUGACCAUCAAAUUCGAAUUCGACAUAUUAUAAAAAUUCAUAUUCAAAUUUGAACUCGAUAAAAAAUCUGAAACCCUGACUCCAAACAAUUAUUUCUAUUUAUAAUAUUUCAAAAUAUAUUAUAUUAAAUUUAAUUUUUUAAAAUAUAAAUUCAAAUAUAAUAUCAAAUGUUUAUAUAUAUAUUGUAUAAUAUAAAAUCAAUUCGGGUUCGGGUCGGAUUCGGUUCCGGUCGGGUACAGACAAAAUUCAUACUUGAAUUCCAAAUCCAUUAAGUUUUCAGUUUUUAUACCCGUAUACGAAAUUAUAUCUAUUUAGUAUCGAAUAAAUCUGAUCCAUUCGGGUUUGAAUUCGGAUAAAAUUUCAGAUAUCUAUACCCGUGAUAUUCCUAAACUCAAUUUCUCUUGAAUGUUGUGCUUGAUUUUGUAGUAAACCCAAUUACGAAAGAAAAUGAAAUAGAAAAAAAAUAAUAAAAAACGGGAUUUUCAAUAAUCAAACAUCAGCAAAAAAAUAAUUCUCACGUGAAUUUUAGUUC